UACGGAGGGUGCAAGCGUUAUCCGGAAUCAUUGGGUUUAAAGGGUCCGCAGGCGGGACUGUAAGUCAGUGGUGAAAUCCGGCAGCUCAACUGUCGCACUGCCAUUGAUACUGCAGUCCUUGAAUUUGAUGGGAGUGGGCGGAAUAUGUCAUGUAGCGGUGAAAUGCUUAGAUAUGACAUAGAACACCGAUAGCGAAGGCAGCUCACUAUGUCUGAAUUGACGCUCAUGGACGAAAGCGCGGGUAGCAAACAGG
rnacentral:rRNA from 1 species